GGUGGAAUUCUGGGAACCCCACAAUGUAAAAAAAAAAAACGUAGAUUUUACGGUAAAACGCCGGCAGCUGGGGUUGGCAAAAUUCCACUGUAAAAACAAUUUAUGGUGUUGGGAACCCGGGUUGUUGGAAUGGUUCCUUUUUGCUGCUUUCCCCCUCUUUUACCACCAGAGGGUGCCAAGAGGCUGUUCCCUCCUGAGGGAGUUGCCCGUGAUUCCUGGAUUCCUGCACAGCUGCAAUUAAUCAGAUCAUCUGGAGGAGUAUAUGAGGACGGAGCUGCUGACACUUCAGAUCCAGAGUGUUAGCCAGUAUUUGGUUAUUCCUCGUGACGCUGUGGACCCACUGGUUGCCAGAGUUCCACUGACACCUCUACAGUAAACCAAACCUCUUUGGAUUACCCUGUGAUCAGUCCCACUUGCUCCUCGCCUUCUGUGAUCCAAAGCUUACCUGUCCGCUCUCCACCGCAGCCUCUUGUUCAGUCAAGCAGCAACCCUCCAUCUGAACCAAACCCGGUAACCACAGUGAUUCUUCCCCCUGGACAAGACCUACCUCCACCCAAGUAAGACCACUCCGUUUAUUCUGACACUGCCAUUUUCAACGACCCCUGAACUCACCAUCUCUCUUUUUUUGCCUCCCAGUGCUCCAGUGAUCCAGAUUGCAGACUU